CCUACGGGUGGCAGCAGUGAGGAAUAUUGGUCAAUGGGCGCAAGCCUGAACCAGCCAAGUAGCGUGAAGGAUGACUGCCCUAAGGGUUGUAAACUUCUUUUGUCAAGGAAUAAAGUGAGGCACGUGUGCCUUUUUGUAUGUACUUUAUGAAUAAGGAUCGGCUAACUCCGUGCCAGCAGCCGCGGUAAUACGGAGGAUCCGAGCGUUAUCCGGAUUUAUUGGGUUUAAAGGGAGCGUAGAUGGGUUGUUAAGUCAGUUGUGAAAGUUUGCGGCUCAACCGUAAGAGUGCAAUUGAUACUGGCAGCCUUGAGUACAGUUGAGGUAGGCGGAAUGCGGGGUGUAGCGGUGAAAUGCUUAGAUAUCACGAAGAACUCCGAUUGCGAAGGCAGCCUACUAAACUGCCUCUGACAUUGAUGCUCGAAAGUGUGGGUAUCAAACAGGAUUAGAUACCCUGGUAGUC
rnacentral:rRNA from 1 species